CCGGAGAGGGAGCUUGAAAAACGGCUACCACAUCUAAGGAAGGCAGCAGGCGCGCAAAUUACCCAAUCCUAAUACAGGGAGGUAGUGACAAGAAAUAACAAUACAGGACUUUUUGGUUUUGUAAUUGGAAUGAGUUAAGUAUAAACCCCUUUACAAGUAUCAAUUGGAGGGCAAGUCUGGUGCCAGCAGCCGCGGUAAUUCCAGCUCCAAUAGCGUAUAUUAAAGUUGUUGCAGUUAAAAAGCUCGUAGUUGGAUUUCUGUUAAUAAUUUAUAUAAUAUAUUUUGAUAGAUAUUUAUAUAAUAUUAACAUAAUUCAUAUUACUAUUUUUUUUUAGUAUAUGAAAUUUUACUUUGAGAAAAUUAGAGUGCUUAAAGCAGGCAUAUGCCUUGAAUACUCCAGCAUGGAAUAAUAUUAAAGAUUUUUAUCUUUCUUAUUGGUUCUAAGAUAAGAAUAAUGAUUAAUAGGGACAGUUGGGGGCAUUUGUAUUUAACAGUCAGAGGUGAAAUUCUUAGAUUUGUUAAAGACAAACUAAUGCGAAAGCA
rnacentral:rRNA from 1 species